rnacentral:lncRNA from 1 species
AUUUCCCUGUUCUCGUGAGAUCCCUCCCCCAACGUGGGAGACGUUCCACUGCCCCAGGUGCCCAAAUGGCAACAGGGGGGAGGGAAGGAAAUCCCUCAAACAACACAGAUAACAAACACAACUCAAAUAAGAUCACCUGAUGAUGUAGUACAGCAAUUAAGAUACAAGGGCUCUGAUCCACAAAUAAUUCAAAAAAAAACAUACAAAAUUUCAAAAUUCAUGUAAACUAGAAUUUUAAGAAAUAUUCCAACUGGUAACCAUCAAUUCACCAAGGUUCAAAUAUCGGUCGGGCUAUGUUUCAAUGCGAUCAAGUGUUGGCUUAAACUAUUUUCAUGUGCCAUCAUCGUUCAAGUUUGUGCACGACAAAAUGUAUUGAAAUUAUCAAUUGCCAUGUCCGAGGCAGAGAUACUUUCGAACAAGAUGAACUGCAAGGCGAAGAUCACUAGCCCUACUCAGGUCUUUUCUCCACUCCGCAUCGACAUCAGGUACCAACAGCUUCAUGUUGACUGAACUACAAAAAAAGUUAGCAACAGUUCACAGUUUCAAUAGACUAUUUUUAAGUAUAAGCAGAUUAAGAUGAAAUAGUAUCAACCAUCAUAUGAUAUGUGCAGCGUGCAUAAAAAAAUCGAGACUACAUUGCUUGCGAAAAGAAUACAAUUUCUUCAAGCUUCUUUGAACAUCUACAGAUUAAUCAGAUUCAGAAUGUCCUAAGAACCAGAAUGCCACUUGCAGUCACUACAAAGUACUCAUAUUUAAUCAGGGAAUAAAGCAAAAGAAUCAUAUUUUAUGAUCCAGCAGGUGUUUGUGUGUGUCAUCCUAUGACAUGUAAAAACGUUGGACAAGAUUGUGACCAAAGCAGGCAAGAAAAAUUAUCACAAGCCGGUAUUGAAAAGCACAACCGGAGUAGCAACUUACUAAUAAAUACGUGGUAUGUGGCCACACUCCAUUGCUACAAGAAGUUACUUUCCUGAUGAGUAAAUCAUUUGUCAAGCAGAUUGCUACAAGUUCACUUGAAUGACAAUAUAUCCUAGUUGAAGCAAUAGAGAAAAGAAAGUAAAGAAAUAACAUCUUUAACUAGCUAGGCAGUUGGCAAGCUGGUAGUACUAUCUCUGCAUCCUCUUUCUUGCUUAAUCAAGGUCUGGAAAUCAAGGCCAACUAGCUAGGCAGCCAGAAGGAAUAACAUCUUUCUAAUUCUAGCUGCCAACAGAGUAGGUUUAGCUUCAGGUCAAUUGAUUGAACAAAGAUUAUAGUCUGACAUUAAGCAGCUGCUAGUAUAUGCAUAGCAAAGUAAACAUCACCUAUCACAUCAAUGAAUUUAAGCUUAUCAUACCUUUCUUUUUCUUCUCAAUGACCAAUAAAGACAACAAGAUCAAGAUGCUAUAGUGAGUUGAAAGCCUGCAACACGGCAGCAGUGCUCGAGUUACUAUUUAUAUCUAAAAAAGAUGCAGAAUAGUUGCUCACAAAUGUCACCUGCUCACAAGAACUUGAUUCAUACAACUAUAUUGAUCUGCUCGCAUGUAAAUCUAAUUAAUAAUUGGUCUUCUGUACCUCCUAUAACAUAUGAAAUCUGAUGUCAAACUAUUGAAAAUACUAUGGACAAAUACAUAACUAUGAAAUUGAACCAACUGACCCACAGGUCUGGUGCAUACAGGUGCAAAGAUUUAUCAAAUAUAUGCGCAACUACAGGCAUCAAGCUUCAGACUUGUUUUCACAAUUUGUAUGGGGAGCAUAGCAUGCUACAUAGAAACA